GGAAAGAUGCCAGAGAGGACAAAUGGGCAUGUCUCGAAAACAUUGCGGAGUAAAAUCCACGAGGGUUCGAAUCCCUCUCUUUCCG
rnacentral:tRNA from 1 species